rnacentral:rRNA from 1 species
GGUGAACGCUGGCGGCGUGCCUAAUACAUGCAAGUCGAGCGAACCGAUCAGGAGCUUGCUCAUUUGACGUUAGAGGCGGACGGGAGAGUACCAUGUGGGUGACCUAACUAUGAGACUGGAAUAACUCCGGGAAACCGGGGUUAAUGCGGGAUAACAUUUAGCACCGCAUGCUUCUAACGUCAGAGAUGGUUUUGCUAUCACUUAUAGACUGACCCGCCCCGUAUUAGCUAGUUGGUAAGGUAACGGCUUACCAAGGCAACGAGACGUAGACGACCUGAGAGGGUGAUCGGCCACACGGUAACAGAGACUCGGUCCAGACUCCUAGAGGAGGCAGCAGUAGGGAAUCUUCCGCAAGGGGCGAAAGCCUGAUGGAGCAACGCCGCGUGAGUCAUGAAGGUGCUCGGAUCGUAAAACUCUGUUAUUAGGGAGGAACAAAUGUGUAAGUAACCGUGCACGUCUUGACGGUACCUAAUCAGAAAGCCACGGCUAACUACGUG